GUACUUACUCUCAUCCUUUACUCUUUCCAUUUGAUUCUUUAGAAUCAGAGCAGAACCAAGCAGGAAGCUCAGAAUCAGAGAGAUCUCAUCCAGUUUUCAGCAAACCCAAACACUCUGCAAUAGAUUGAGUGGAAGGAAGAGGAAGAACAUGAUAAAGACAUAAGAAAAGAAGCUGAGUCCUUGUUGAAACACUGAAAUGGGUGCAGAAACAUCCUUCUUCUAAAAUGGCUACUGCCUCAGGACGUUUGAAGGGGGAAAAGAAGAGGAGAAAUUUCUGCUCCAGGAAGACUUGGAAUGACGAACACAGGUCUGAGUAUUUCUCUAGAUAAUUCAUCUAGGAGUGACACUGUUGAAUAAACAGCUCUGCAGAUCUUCUCCUGCAAGUGACUGUACCAAUUUAUUCUCCAACCAGCCAUUAUGGGCUGAAUAUCUGUGCCCUCCUCAAACUCAUGUGUUGAAGCCUCAACCCCUAGUAUGAUAGUAUCUGGAGGUGGGACCAUUGGGAGGUAAUUAGGUUUAGAUUAGGUCACAAGGGUGGAGGCUUUAUGAUGGGAUUAGUGUCCUUAUAAGAAGAGGAAGUGAAAUGAGAGCUCUCUCUGUCAGCAUGAACACAAAGAAGAGAUCAUGUGAGCACACGGAGAGAUGGCAGCUGUGUGCAGGUCAGCAAGAGGGCCCUUACCAAGAACAGAAUCUGUUGGCACCUUCAUCUUGGACUUCCCAGC